AGGAUGAUCGGAUAGCUGGGUGCUGGACGUUAGGACCGCCGGUGUAGAUUUUCAUGCCUUUUGUAAACAGUAUUUUGAAUUUGUUUUUAGUUGACUCGUUUUGGCAUUAGGCCGAGACCGGUCUCGAAUUGUAUCAAUGUAUGGAUAUUUCUUGAAUCAAUAAAGUAAUUGUUUUAUAUGCGCUUCAUGAGUACUCUGAUAUUUGACUAGUCCGGUCUAACACAACAUUAGGUCGUAGUACGGGUUGAAAAGCCUUAUGCCUCGAUCUAACAGAAAACGCUAACUCUAGGUACGGGUUGCAAAGCCUUGUGCCUUGAUGCAGCAGGACGAGUUAGUGGAUGAACUGGUCUAGGUCAUGGAGUAAAUUUUGUGAC
rnacentral:lncRNA from 1 species